UCCACAAGGCCGAAAGUGCAUAGAAGUGUGCCAUUUUUGGACAGGGCCAAUGUUUUUCCGCAAGACGCAUACAGUUUAUCAACCGCUAGAGUACCAAACCUAAGGGACAGCAGCUUUAAACAGCGCACGGGCCACAUUAAAGUGAUUACUAGAAUUUGUUUGCGGGCCUGAUUAAAAGUCGUGGUGGGCCUUAUUUGGCCCAUGUGGGCUACACUGUGAAAUAUGGGCCUAUAUAAUUCGACCAGUCUAAAAUUAAUAAUUCACUGAAGAGAGAAGGAUUUACCACACAUCAUUUCGGAAAAGCGGAUAAUUCAGCGUACUUUAUUAUAUAUUGAAUUAUUACAAAGGCUAUUAUUUCACGAGCUUCGUUUUUAGCGUAGUGGUCGGCUGCUCAAGACUGCCACCUGCAGACUUUGAGUUUUUGUUAACAUUAAGAAGGAUAAUUUGUACUUUGACUUGUUCAUAUUGAUGCAACGUUAAGCCUACAUUUUUGAAAAUGUUUGGUUACAGGUCUGUUACAAUUUUCAUUGACCUAAAUUAAGUGUUCGAGUAAAAUUGACUAAAAUGAAUGAAUAUGCUAGACAAAAUAUCACGUGACGUUUUCUUGAGAGUAGAUGGAGAUCAUUUCCGGUCUGCGAAGUAACGGUAGAAAAUUCGGUACAAAACAUGGUUUUGGUAUCUAAUGGCUAUUCAAACGAGAUUUUUCUUAUAAUCUGGACAUUAACAAACCCUCAGUUUUUCCUGGACCUCCAUGAAGUUAAUUUGGUUUUUCUACAGUGGCUGCGCACUUCAGUCAUUCUGUAGCCGCUGUUGACAGUGAUGUUCUACACUCUGCUGUUAGAUGUUUUCCUCACUGAAGGCCAAGAGAAACUGGUUAAAGCAGAGCAGGACAUGGAGAGAAAGAAAGUCGACUUUAAAGCUGGCAGAGCGCUUUGGUGGAGAUUUGCCCUGCACCUGACACAUUAAUAAGGCUCCGGAAACACCUCCUCUUCCUCUGCACUUCCAUUUUCCAUGUCAAAUCCUAAUCAGACCGACUCAUGCGUGAGCCGCUAAUGACGCAACAAGUUCCGAAGGUAA